rnacentral:misc_RNA from 1 species
GAUGAAGAACGUAGCGAAAUGCGAUAAGUAAUGUGAAUUGCAGAAUUCAGUGAAUCAUCGAAUCUUUAAACGCACAUUGCGCCCGCCAGUAUUCUGGCGAGCAUGCCUGUUCGAGCGUCAUUUCAACCAUCAAGCCCCAGGCUUGUGUUGGAGCCCUGCGGCUGCCGCAGCCUCCCAAAACCAGUGGCGGGCUCGCUAUCACACCGAGUGCAGUAGUUUACUCUUCGCUCAGGGCGUGUGGCGGGUGCUAGCCGUGAAACCCCCAACUUCUCAAGGUUGACCUCGGAUCAGGUAGGAAUACCCGCUGAACUUAAGCAUAUCAAUAAGCGGAGGA